AACGAACGCUGGCGGCAUGCCUAACACAUGCAAGUCGAACGAGACCUUCGGGUCUAGUGGCGCACGGGUGCGUAACGCGUGGGAACCUGCCCUUAGGUUCGGAAUAACUCCCCGAAAGGGGUGCUAAUACCGGAUAAUGUCUUCGGACCAAAGAUUUAUCGCCUUUGGAUGGGCCCGCGUUGGAUUAGCUAGUUGGUAGGGUAAAAGCCUACCAAGGCGACGAUCCAUAGCUGGUCUGAGAGGAUGAUCAGCCACACUGGGACUGAGACACGGCCCAGACUCCUACGGGAGGCAGCAGUGGGGAAUAUUGGACAAUGGGCGAAAGCCUGAUCCAGCAAGGCCGCGUGAGUGAUGAAGGCCUUAGGGUUGUAAAGCUCUUUUACCCGGGAUGAUAAGGACAGGACCGGGAGAAUAAGCUCCGGCUAACUCCGU
rnacentral:rRNA from 1 species